CAAGGAGUGGGAAGGAGGGAGAGCUGGAGAUGGUGGGAGACAGAGGGAGAAGCUCAUUCCCACCUUGGAGGCACGUUGCUUGGAGGGUGAGCUGGAGUGAGGAGAAGCCCACAGCAUGUGGUGGGUUUCAGGGGAAGACUUUUCGGGGCAAGAAGUGCCCCGGGGAUCCAUUGACCGUAGCAACUUCACCCGUGCUAAGUGCCGGGCACAGGGGAGUCUGCACUGCCAGUGGGAAGCCUCCAGGGAAUGGUGGGGUCGGCACGUUUGAAGAACACCCUCGGAUCAAGGGGUUUGCCAAUGGCAGGGCCUUGCUGCCAGCCAGGCAUUAGAUAUCAGAGCAUGGCCCUGCCGCUUAUCCCACUCCGGCAGAUUCCUCCUGAGGUGUUGGUGCCUCCUGAAUAAACAGUCGCCUGUCUCCACCACUAAGUGGGCUGCUUUCCCCUUGGUGAAGAGUUUUGGCAACGCACACGGCUCCUUCGCUGAUGCAAGCAAACGCGCGCAAGUAACACCGCACCGUCAACUGUGCUCACUGGGAAAGGGUUGGAAAUGUAGAUUGCAAGGCCUGGCGUUGGACUUUCUCCAAAACUGGGAGUUACCCCACUGAAGUCAGCGAAGUUACGAAACGAAGCAAGGAGAGCGAGGGUAGAAAUAGGGCGCAGGGAUUCCCGGGUGGAGUUUUGCCCUGGCGUACGCCAAAUCCGGCGUCGCUGUAAUUGCCUGUAAGUGUGGUGCCUGCAACGCCGGGGACGAGACCAGCUUCCUUCUGCCCGUGGCUCGUUCCCCUCUGUCGAGCUAAACGCAGGAAGCAAAG
rnacentral:lncRNA from 1 species